UCAAAGGCCCUUUUUAGGGCCAACCACACAGUCCUCAGAAGAGCUG
rfam:Sus scrofa isolate TJ Tabasco breed Duroc chromosome 4, whole genome shotgun sequence.